UACGGAGGAUCCGAGCGUUAUCCGGAUUUAUUGGGUUUAAAGGGUGCGCAGGCGGGAGAUUAAGUCGGUGGUGAAAUUUUGCAGCUCAACUGUAAAAGUGCCUUCGAAACUGGUUUCCUUGAGUGUAGAUGAAGUAGGCGGAAUUUGUGGUGUAGCGGUGAAAUGCAUAGAUAUCACGAGGAACUCCGAUUGCGCAGGCAGCUUACUAAACUACUACUGACGCUCAGGCACGAAGGCGUGGGGAUCAAACAGGAUUAGAUACCCGCGUAGU
rnacentral:rRNA from 1 species